rnacentral:tRNA from 1 species
UAAAAGUUAGUUUAAGUGAGAGAAUGUUCGAUUGUUGAUCGAAGGGUUAGACUUUUAG